CUGUGAGACAGGUGCUGCAUGGCUGUCGUCAGCUCGUGUUGUGAAAUGUUGGGUUAAGUCCCGCAACGAGCGCAACCCUUAUCCUUUGUUGCCAGCGGUUAGGCCGGGAACUCAAAGGAGACUGCCAGUGAUAAACUGGAGGAAGGUGGGGAUGACGUCAAGUCAUCAUGGCCCUUACGACCAGGGCUACACACGUGCUA
rnacentral:rRNA from 1 species